rnacentral:rRNA from 1 species
AAAGGCACAAGGGAGCUUGACUGCGAGACCUACAAGUCGAGCAGGGUCGAAAGACGGGCUUAGUGAUCCGGUGGUUCCGCAUGGAAGGGCCAUCGCUCAACGGAUAAAAGCUACCCCGGGGAUAACAGGCUUAUCUCCCCCAAGAGUCCACAUCGACGGGGAGGUUUGGCACCUCGAUGUCGGCGCAUCGCAUCCUGGGGCUGUAGUCGGUCCCAAGGGUUGGGCUGUUCGCCCAUUAAAGCGGUACGCGAGCUGGGUUCAGAACGUCGUGAGACAGUUCGGUCCCUAUCCGUCGUGGGCGUAGGAAAUUU